UGGCAGCAAACUAUGAAGAGAGGGCAGAAAGUCAUGGUAGCCCCUUUUUAUAUUUCCCUAUGGCUCAUGCUGUGCCAAUGACACCAGGCUGUCUGUGUAGGACACUGGGCAGUGACCUGGCCAAAGUCCUCUGAGCUCACAGACCUCUUGGUGGUCAAGUGCCAGGCAGAAGAAGGCCCUGUGGAAUAAUGAACGCCAUGAGUGCCUGGAGACAGACCACAGGCACAGAGGAGAUGGGAGGAGAGAGCAGAGGAUGUGGGCUGCCCAAAGCUCCUCCUUUUAGAGACCAGUGGAGCUGCUAUUGAUGCAAGUGAUGGUGAACAGACAUUUAGGAGAGACCAUGUGUUCGUGUGACAACUGUGCAAAGGGGAUUGCCUAAGAAUAAGACAUCUUGACAUUUCACUAGAGGCCAUCCCUGGCCUCCUGCCCUCAGCUAGUGAACAUUCAAAGAGAUGAAGGAGAGAAGAAAAGGGGUGCAUAGAAAAAAGCAGUUAUGUCACAGUCGUGUAGAGUUUCCACUGGCUUCAUUAAAGGCCUGAAUGUAAAACAGCUGCAGAACCAUGCAUUGGGUCCUGGCAAGUGAAAUUGUCC